AACGCACAUUGCGCCUUCUGGUAUUCCGGUAGGCAUGCCUGUUUGAGCGUCAGCAAAACACCCUCGGGACUGUGUAUUUUCAUAUCCAGUGUCGGUCUUGGGCAGCGGAUGCCGGUGGUUAUUUCUUUCCACCUGCGCCCUCCCUAAACUUGCUGCACGACCGCAAGCCCCCUUCUAGCCCAGGUCAAUGGAGUGGUGUUACAAUCUUCCAAGAAGCCUGCUGGUAAACUGCUUUGCGGCGUUAAACCCUUAACGCCUCCCCUCCGAGGGAGACUUGAAGUUUUGACCUCAGAUCAGACAAGGAUACCCGCGGAACUUAA
rnacentral:misc_RNA from 1 species